GGUAGCGGCGUUCCCGCUGCGGUGCUGAGUGCAGCGGGUCCUCGGCCACACCUCCGGUCCUGUGGCCGCUUCUGAGCCCCGCGGGGCCGCAGGGACGCUGAGGGCUGGGGGUCGUCAGGCUCGACAAGGGUCGUCGAACGGGACGCCCACAGAAGUUCUGGAACCACCGUCCCUGGAAGUGGAAAAGACGUGUGGAUGUGACAUUUUGGGGCAGGGUUUAGUAGUGGGCUUGGCAGUGCUGGGUUAAUGCUUGAAUUCAAUGAUCUUCGAGGUCUUUUCCAGCCUUAAUGACUCUAUGAUUGAAAUUGUGGUUCUUCCCCUUCUGAAGCACACUUCCACGAUUGUGCUUCUCUCUGUCUGAUGGAAGCAUUUCUGAUGGAAAGAAAUGCUUAACCAUGGAUCUCCUUUUAUACACUCAUUUCCCACUUGGGCACUGAUGCUUGGGCACACUCACUGGGGGUUUCCACAUGAAAAAACUCGAUUUAACAUCUCAAAAAGCAGUCUUGUUUGGCAUGUAUUGGUUUCCUACUCCUCUCCCUAAGGAAUGUAGUCCAUACCAACAGUGAAACCAUAUUUUGCUGCAUACUUGGAGGAGGAGGUAAUUCUGCUUGUCUUGGGUGUAAAAUAAAGCAUUAUUCUCUUAUAUAUGCACUGUUUUCCAGGUAGUGAGGGAAAUUACCCUCUCAAGGGGAAAGGAAUUUGAAGCUUUGCUUAAAUGUUUUGAGAGCAUUUGAUAGAAAGUGACAUUUGAAACACCAAGUAUUACCAUUAAAUUUUAUAGCUCAGAACUCUUAUUGGGCCAUAUCCUAAAGGUUUAACUCAAACUCUUGUUUUUAGACUCACCAGAGUCUGGAAUCUAAACUGAAGGCUACUGACAUCAAACACUAAGGGAAUUUGGUUUGCUUUUCAGGAACAUUGAACUCCUUGCAGUGUAGGGUCUCUGGAGACCUUAAAAGGCAAAAAUUCUGCUUUGGGGCUUUUGACCACUUGUUCUGAUGUCUGGCCUAUUGUAAUUGUACUUGAUUUUUACCUUCCCCAACACUGAUGCUUCUUUCCAAAUGGUUAAUUCAAGGACAAACAGUUUUUAGCUGUGAGCAGGAGCUUUAGUUCAAGAGUCAUUCUUGAUACUGGGGUUAUUUAUAUGAAUCCACACUGCCAAUAACCUCUUCCCCUGAGGUAAGAGUUUACUACAGAUAAUCAGCAAGAUUAAAUACUAACAAAAAUUAUUAUGAACCCAUAUAUGACUGCAAUGAUUUUUUUUUUCACAAUAUUUACUGAAUAACUUGCCUGGGAAGUGGGUCUUAGUUUGACUCUCAUGGUUGAUUCUAAGCCUUCUCUUACCCAUACCCCUGAGACUCUGGUUAAUUUUGUGGCACAAAAUAUUUAAUUAUGUGCUCUGCCAAGUGAAUACAAGGUCUCAAAUUGAAUUUCAGCGUCCCUGGGCAACUAUUUUAGACACUUUGGUAGAAUGUAAAUGCAUAUUUUCUGCAUGCCAGAUCUUGGCUGCAUAUCCAUCAAAGUAAAUCCUCACUGGUUCCACUGAAGGCUUGGAACAAUCUUAAAUUAUGUUGUUGAGGUCACAUUGUGACCCUGAAGCUUUGGCAGAGACCCAAACCAAGAAAUUUGUGUGGGAAACUGGGGAGGGAAUAAAUUAGCACUUGCCUAUGCUUUUUGUGGAAGUAAACUGUUACAAAGGUGUGAGUUAAGAUGAAAGCUCCUCAUGGUGGUGGAUAUUGCUUUCCAGCUGUUUCUGCUGGAAACAGCUCAGUGUGUCUGUAUGGGAUGGGUCCUUAUUUUCUGACGGUGCUCUGCCUCAAAUAAUAACCAGUUUUGCAUUUCCAUCCUCCCCACUGUGCCUUCCUCCUCACCCCCUCUAAACAAAUAUCGCUUCAUCUUAUAGAAUGAAAGUCCAGGGGUAGGUUCUAGUCUGGGUAGUUUUUUUUUCCUCUGGUAAAUUUAAUCCUUCAUUUUCUCUCUCUGCCAAAUGCAAGUGGCAGGUCUAAACAGUAUUAGGUAAUUGUGGUUGUCAUGCUGCAGAUUGCACUGUGGAAAAAAAUUAAUUGCUGUUUUUUCGCCCAGGGGUUUGAGCCGUGGUCCCUUCGUCUGCCUGGAACAGCGUAGUUUCCCUCCCCGUUGGGGCUGUGUUCUGUGGAGCAGCAUGAAAGGGCUCCUGUGCAGCUGCUCUGGACUUGAUGAAGGGCAAUCCAAACAAGAGCUGGCUUGCAUUCACAGGUCUUUUACAGAGUGGUGCGAGGCUCAUGAGGGAGUGCAUUUACCAGUGACAGCUUUUAACCAUGGACACAUCCUCACUGUUCCUCAGCCAGCUGCUGGCCAAAGCUUUCCCUUCUGGAGGACAGCAAGCAUCCAGGAUCAUUUCCACUGCAUCUUCUGCCAUAUUGUGAUGGGAAGGAGAGACAGUAAAGGGUAUGAUGAAAAAAGUACAUGGAGCCAUUUUUGCUGUGGGAACAAAGAUUUUCGCUCCCUGGGCUGAAGAUGGUCUCUAGCUGAGAGUGAGAACUGGCAUAACCUGCUGGAUGUAUGGUAUGAAGAUUCCUCUUGUCCCAAGGAAAUGGUUCUGCUUUUCAGAAACUGUGGUAUUUUGGAGCAUGCCCAGGAAAGAGCAGCACAAAGAGCCAGAAAGUAUGAACAGUGAGGCAGCCCAAAGGCACGCAUAGAAAUUGUGAGUGCACUGAAUGUGUUGUUCCAUCUAGAGAGGAAAGGAAAAUGAGAAGUUUCAAAGGCUUAAGAGAUUGAUGCAGUGAGGAGUGUGAUGGGCAAGUGUUCCAUGUCCAUCGUGUCCAUGACCAGGGGUGAGUGGCUCAGUGUUCCACAAGAGAGAUGUAGCUUCUUGCUGGGAAGCACAUACGCUCCAGCAGAACACAGACAACAUGUGGACAGCAGGAUAUGGUCACAGGGAGAGGCUGUGAAGGGCAGCCUGCUGCUCAAACACGCCAUGCAUUGGCACUGCUGCUGAGCAGCAGGCUGCAAAAGAUUGCUGGGAGAUCUGCUUUUUAGUCUGUGCUGGUUUAGAAAAGGCUGAUAUGCUUUACCUACUCAUUUUUGUCAGGCUCUUCCACUUAGAGAAAACACUCAGGCCUAUAAAUCAAUAACAACUUGACAGUUACUGGCAAAACUGGAAAAUCUGGCUGCUUUUGGGAAUAGCCAGGACUUUAG